GAUGGGCGUGAUCAGCGGCUGCACCACAAAGAAAAAGAACUUUGGCGGAGAAUCUUGACUCAAACUCAAGGAGGAGGAAAGUUUUCUGGCUCAUAAUCGAGGCGCUUGGCUGUAGAUAAGCCUAGACUGGGUUAAUUACAGUAACUACCUCCUGCUUUUGCCCUGAUUGUGACCGUCUCCCAGCCAAUCGUGAAACAUUUGCCAAGCAAUUGACAAGUUGCGCAAGUGCACGGGAGUGAACGCAAUAUUCACGAAGGCAAUGAAGCACCGGUCGCGAGGACCCCGAAGGAUCAACGUGGAGGAAGUGGACUUGCCGACAUUAUUAUUUUAGUGCGGCUCACCGGUGAAACAUACGCCCAGUGCGACCCAACCGUGCCCGUAUUUGUCGGGUGUCGGUCCGGAUUCCAGGCGUCGUCUCUCAUGCUCGAAAAGUAAGCCGCAGGCCGCAGUACGGAAGCAGAAAGUCGUGGUUAAGGAGGAAGCGGAACUUGGCACCUGGUGGUGUCGGUGCACGAUGAUAUCUUCAAUUUGGACCACUAUUUGGAGAUUCAACGCCAGCUGUGUGGAAUUCCACCGCAGGAUUGCAAAGAGCGGAUUAUAAAGGACGCCGUGGCAAGUUCAGUAAAUAAAAAAAAACAAUCUGGAAUAAAUCGAGUUGCUAGUCGAGUUGUAUAAAGCAAAA